GGCGUUGGCGGAACAUGUUACAUCGAGCACACUCUUAAUCAAUUCAAACACCUAGGUCUGAACCACCAACGUGCCACUAAACUUGCUCCUAGUCUGAAUGCCCAUUCUGCUAUUUACGCUCACAAACUUGUUACCACCAGACGUGCCAUUGCAAACAAUGUUACUUCCCACAGCCAGGUUCUAGGGCCUUGUGCCUCUAGAAACCCGCCUGAUCCCCAUUAAUUUUUUUUCCUUCUCUCCUUGUGGUGGGGGAGACUCACGGCUCCUCAGAGCCAAUGUGUCUCCUUUUCCUUAAUUGAUGUAGGGGGAGUUUCUCCGCCUACG
rnacentral:lncRNA from 1 species